rnacentral:rRNA from 1 species
CCUACGGGGGGCAGCAGUGGGGUAUAUUGGACAAUGGGCGAAAGCCUGAUCCAGCCAUGCCGCGUGUGUGAAGAAGGCCUUCGGGUUGUAAAGCACUUUCAGUGGGGAAGAAAGCCUUGGGGCUAAUACCCUCGAGGAAGGACAUCACCCACAGAAGAAGCACCGGCUAACUCCGUGCCAGCAGCCGCGGUAAUACGGAGGGUGCGAGCGUUAAUCGGAAUUACUGGGCGUAAAGCGCGCGUAGGCGGUCUGAUAAGCCGGUUGUGAAAGCCCCGGGCUCAACCUGGGAACGGCAUCCGGAACUGUCAGGCUAGAGUGCAGGAGAGGAAGGUAGAAUUCCCGGUGUAGCGGUGAAAUGCGUAGAGAUCGGGAGGAAUACCAGUGGCGAAGGCGGCCUUCUGGACUGACACUGACGCUGAGGUGCGAAAGCGUGGGUAGCAAACAGGAUUAGAUACCCCUGUAGUC